UAUUCGAGCGAAGAGGAAAGCCACGAUGAAGAAGUUUGCUCCUGUUGGCUUCCUGUUGCUUCUGAUCACCUUCUGUCAUGGGAGGUUCCUUAACUCCCUGCACACAGAAGCGAGUCAUUGGCGUAAAUUGCCUUGCCCGAACCCCGAAGACAUCUUGCCUUGCACAUGCACUGCGGACCAAGAUAAUCGAAUGGACUUGGAUUGUUCGCUAGUGGCGAGCGAGGAAGAACUGGAGAGGGUGUUCUCGGCGACCUUUCCCUUCAGUACGUUCCGAAACUUCACCCUCGUUGAUAACGCUUAUCUGAAGACCUUGACGGACCAAUCCCUCGGCAUCGCCUCCUUCACGGGCGUGUACAUCAUGAACAGCGUGCUGGAGGGGGUGGAAUCCAACGCCCUGCUGAACAGCUUCGGCACAGCUCAGGUGAUCAACAUGCAGAAUAACUUAUUGUCUUCGUUUCCCUUCGAAACCCUGUCCUCUUUCAGCAGCCUCGUGGAGCUCGACCUCAGUGACAACAAGCUUGCUUUUCCUGCCCUCGGGUCCGAGUCGCUGCUCAUACUCGACCUGUCCAACAACCUGGUCGACAGCGUCUCCGCCACGGCCUUCUCGGAUACGCCGGAGAUCUCGGAAAUUAAUCUCGGAGGAAACCAAAUAAGUCACAUUCCUACAGGCACCUUCGCGGGGCACCAUAACUUGUACCACGUGAACCUAGAAUCGAACGCGCUGACCUACCUUCCCGAGGGCGCCAUACAGCUGACCUCCAGCAGUUCGGGGACGGUCAUUCUGCGGAGUAACCAGAUCGCAGAUGUUGCUGUUAAUUGCAUAACAGAUGUGUCCGGCGGCAACGUGGACGUCAGCAACAAUUCUUUGAAGGCUUUGAAGGAGGACGUUUUCCGACCUAUUCUGGAUGAAGAAGCGGCUCUCGACAUCAAAAACAACCCGUUGACCUGCGGCUGCGACAUCGCGUGGCUGAUCCGCGACUCCUCCCUGCUGAAGCUGGUGGCGGAGGGCGCCGCCUGCUUCGACGGGGAGCUGCUCGCCGACCUCGACCCCGGGAUGUUCGACGACCUGGGAUGCCCCUAGGGGUGGGGAUUCGCUGCUUCGGCUGCCGUCUGUGUCCAGGGGCGUGUCUUAGGGCGUGUCCGAAGAGGGAGAAGGUAAUCUUCCUCGACUGGAGUUCGCAGGCCAGCGUCUCCCUCGCCACGGCGCCGAUCUUCCUCUCCGCUCUUAUAGCUUUCAGUUUCGCUAUCUGUUCGAUUGUAUAGGUUGGUUUCGUGUGUGACUGUGUAAAGCAAAAUAUGACAAUGUAAGAUAACUAUUACCACUAACUGCAAUGAUAAUAUGCUACAUAUUAUUAUCCUAGCAGUUAGUUGUUAAUUAACAAACAAAAUAAAACAUGAUACCCGGUAAACAGUUUCAACAAAAAAUACAUAUAUUUUUUAAACCUU